rnacentral:misc_RNA from 1 species
AAAGUGAGAGUGACAGGGAGGAGAUUCAGGCGUCUAUACUUUCCCUUUCGACAAGACCCAAUGUAAAUAAUGGCGAGUGACAAGUAGUUAAAAUUUCGUGUUUUUUGCUAAUAUCUUCGCUUCUCUUCCUCCCGACAUUGUGAGGACGUGCCAGAUGGCGUGGGCGAUAGUUACCAGACCCUAGCGGCGGCGGCGGCGGCGGCGGCGGGUGUUGCUAUAAUGUCAACACCAGUCACGCCCACAGCCUCAAGGAAAAGGGCAUUUAAUCAGACGGCUGGGGUGACUGAAUCCACCAAUGAGGGGACUGGGGGCAGCUGGCUGGGGGCUCUUGGUGGGGUGGUGGGGGAGUGGCUGCAGGGGUGGGGGCUCCUGGGGGUCCUGAGAAGACGGUCGGGGGUGGGGGGUGUCCGCUCCACCCCCAACACCCCCCCCACACACAGCCAACCCACCUCCCCCUCACAUGAACAUAUUGAAUUAAGACAACUCAACUUCCAGAACCCUGCUACGUGAGACUGGAGGGGGGCAGGCCGGGGGAGGGGCAUGACUUUAGGCCUAGGACAUUGGAUAGGCCUGCUUGGUGUGAUGCGUGUGCCCACCUCGUCUUCUACCACGCUACGACCUGCAAUA